UACGGGCAUAUCCCGUUAAAACCCCGGUUCUCGCACGAUCACCAAAGUUAAGAAACGUCGAGCCUGGUUAGUACGUAGAUGGGUGAGCGCUUGGGAAUA